UACAGAGGCCCCAAGCAUUAUCCGGAAUCACUGGGCGUAAAGGAUGUCAAGGCGGCCCUAUUAGUCUUUUGUUAAAUCUGUGGGCUCAACCUACAGGCUGCAGAGGAAACGGUAGGGCUUGAGGUAGGGAGAGGUGCGUGGAACUCACGGUGUAGGGGUGAAAUCCGUUGAUAUCGUGGGGAACACCAAAGGCGAAGGCAGCGCACUGGCCCUAUUCUGACGCUCACACAUGAAAGCCAGGGUAG
rnacentral:rRNA from 1 species